CACCACCACCACCACCGUAAUGAACAGGAGUGGCAGGUGCUGACAUCGUCGAUGAAGACGAUGAUACACCUGAAGUUACGUUGUUUCCCUCCUGAUGGAGUACAACUCGUGCAGGUGAACGUAACAUUGUCCCUGAAGCCGACGUCACCGUAGUAGCCGUUAUGGUAGCUGCCGAGGAUGACCUCUUCGGCGGGCCACCGACGAUACCACGGAGGACGUCGUGGCCAAGGAUUUUUUCACGUACACUCGGUAUGCACCAAAUCUUGAUUAGUUCUCAUCGAACCCCUUUGUAGCUUAGAGCGACUGACGAAUUUACGCCAAUUGCUCGGAGCUCACUUCGAGGUUCUUAUCUUUUCAAACAAGAUUUUUUAUAUCCCCCCUUCCCCCUUUUUUUAUAUUUAUAUUCUAUAUUUUAUAUUAUACUUUAAAUUAGAUUUUUAAUUUGGAAUAAUUUUGGUUAUUUAGGGUCGAUGCAAAAACAAGAGUUUCAAUAAGUUCAUUCAACUCGAAAGUACAAAACGUAGACAGCUGAGAGAAAAGAUUUGAUUGAAAUUGAAAUUGUUAAUAUCAACGAAUCGAAGAAAAUAAAAACAA
rnacentral:lncRNA from 1 species